AGGGUUUGCUUAGGGCAGGGGGGGUUGAAGAGUGGCUCCUCUGUUUACAAUACAACAAACAGGAAUCUGGGGUCAUUGUGACAAGGGGCACAAAACUUGUGUCCUCCCUACAUGUGAAAAAAAAAAAGAG
ensembl:snoRNA